UGCCAGCAGCCGCGGUAAUACGAAGGGACCUCGCGUUGUUCGGAAUUACUGGGCGUAAAGAGCGUGUAGGCUGUUAGGUAAGUCAGAGGUGAAAUCCCAGGGCUCAACCCUGGAACUGCCUUUGAUACUGGUAGUCUUGAGUUCGAGAGAGGUAAGUGGAAUUCCGAGUGUAGAGGUGAAAUUCGUAGAUAUUCGGAGGAACACCAGUGGCGAAGGCGGCUUACUGGCUCGAUACUGACGCUGAGGUGCGAAAGUGUGGGGAGCAAACAGGAUUAGAUA
rnacentral:rRNA from 1 species